CCCCUCUCAGGGUCACAACUGGAGAGUUCCCAGUACUCUACCAGUCUUGAUUCCGGCAGGGUAAGUCAGACAGAGGCCUAUCCAUUCCAUUCCUAGCUUGGGCAGUGGCUAGCGAGUGGCAGGCAAUCUGCUACAAGU
rnacentral:snoRNA from 1 species